ensembl:lncRNA
CAGCCAAUGCACCAGCAGAUACGUGCCUCGCUGUCGCCCGGGGAGACCUGGCACCAGAGCGCCAUUAAGAAUCUGCUCUUUUUGAUCUACAUCUCCUUGUUGGAGGAGGGAAAAGGCUCUGUUAACAAAGAGCAGAUCCAGAAAAUGAGGACUGGUGGUGUGUUUGUGUUGCUUAGCGGUGGGUGGAACUGGAGGUGGGGUCCGGCACACUCAACCAGACCAGAGGAAACACCAAAAGUCCGGAUCAGAUCU